UACGUAGGGUGCAAGCGUUGUCCGGAAUUAUUGGGCGUAAAGAGCUCGUAGGUGGUUUGUCGCGUUGUCCGUGAAAACUCACAACUCAAUUGUGGGCGUGCGGGCGAUACGGGCAGACUGGAGUACUGCAGGGGAGACUGGAAUUCCUGGUGUAGCGGUGGAAUGCGCAGAUAUCAGGAGGAACACCGGUGGCGAAGGCGGGGUCUCUGGGCAGUAACUGACGCUGAGGAGCGAAAGCGUGGGGAGCGAACAGG
rnacentral:rRNA from 1 species